AAGCCAAAGGGGACCCCCGCUAAAAUACAUAUAAUUAUAUAGUAACUAUCGGGAUUUUCAUUUCUCGCGGAACUUUCACUCUCGCGAAAAACCAAUGUCAACAUGGCCAAAAAAAAAAUACAUAAAAAUCGAAAUCUAAAAAGCGCGGAACUUUCAUAUAUUUCCGUCGGAACAACUAUCUUUUAGUAUAGAAAAAGCGGGCUCAAUUUAUCGCGCUGAACCUACUCUGUACAAAAAGUAGUGUAUAGAAUCGCGCGGAGAUUGUAGAACGCUAUUUUAAGAAGUCUAUAUCGUCCGCGAAAAUUGAGCAUUGAAUUACUGUACAAAUCUCGGGUUGCUAUGUAAAUUGCGGGUUGCUAAUGAAAAAUCGCGCGGAAGAUUCAUUACUCCGCGCGAUUUUUCAAUAGCAUUGAAUUACUGCACGAAAUUCGGGUUGCUAUGUGGUUACGCGAUAAAAUUUGAUUGGUUCCGACACCUAGAGUGAACCAAUCAAAACUAGCGUCUUAUCCAGCAUUCAUGCAGUCAUCAUGAUGACGGUUGUUUCACAUUAACACAAAACCUUUAAAGGGCGAAAGAAUGAUCAAUUUUGAUGACAUUAGCCAUGAGCUGUAACAGUGUUCCCAACUUGAACAUCAUCUUCUGAGUACAUAUCUGAGGCAGAGCCAGCUUGCACGUCCUGUGUUGUGGACAUCCGUGUUAGAGCCAGCUUGCAUGUCCUGUGUUGUGGACAUCCGUGUUAGUGCUAGCUUGCACAUCAUCUGUUGUGAACAUCCGUGUAAGAGCCAGCUUGCACAUCUUCUGUUGUGGACAUCCGUGUUAGUGCUAGCUUGCACGUCAUCUGUUGUGAACAUCCGUGUAAGAGCAAGCUUGCACGUCAUCUCUUUUGGGCAUCAGUAUUAGAGCCAGCUUGCACAUCUUCUGUUGUGGACAUCCGUGUUAGUGCUAACUUGCACGUAAUCUGUUGUGGACAUCUGUGUUAGAUCCAGCUUGCAUGUCAUACGUUAAGGACAUCAGUCAGAGAUAGCUUGCAUGUUAUUUACUUGUGGACAUUAGAAUCAGAGCCAGCAAGGACAAUCUCUGUUGUGGAUAUCUGUCUUAGAGCCAGCUUGCACUUCAUCGGUUGUUCACAUCCUUCUAAUAACCAGCUUGACCAUCAUCUGAUGUGGAAAUCUGAGUCAGAGACAGCUUGCACAUCAUCCGUUGUGAACAUCUCUUUAUGAUUUUACUCUUUGCUUAGAUUGACACUGUGACUUUAGUGUAAUACGUUGCAACCUUAAGCUAUUCCUAUUGUUGAAUAAAAUAUUGUGUCAUUAAAAUAUAUUUUGUUGGAUAAUUUGUAUGUUGAGUUGUAUUGUUUGGUCAUUGCAAAGUUACAAGUUAUUUUAAGACAAGAACAAGCUCAUCUUUCAUCAUGUAUUUAUAUUAAAAUUCUUGAAUGUUAAUGAAGGUACAGAUCCUAUAAUUAAAAGCAAUUGUAAUAGAAUUGCUUGUGUUUCAUUGCACAGUCAAUACCAUCUUGUCUUUAUGCUGACAUAUAGAACGGAUAAAUAGUAAACUGUCGUUUUUAUAUGCUAUGGGAUUGUAUAUCAACACUUGUAUUUUAAGAUGACAAAAUUGCCAUAAUUUUUCUCUUUAUAUUUUAUUCCUGCUAAAUGGUUGAUGCAAUAAAGUUUAGUCUUCAAUGACUUGUGUUUCUUGUAAAGUUGUAAUAUUAUUUGUAAGCAAAUUUGGCUGUAGUAUUAGAUGCAUGCUGUACAAGAUACUGUAAAUCAACAAUAUAUUGUUUUAGUAUGAAAAGAUAAUUUAAGUUGCACAGCCAUUAAUUUUGCCUUCCACCAUCUCCAAUUUUGGUUAGACAGUUGCAAGUUACUUGCAUAAGUAUGAACAUCGGUUCAAUUUAAGCCAGGCUGUAUUGAUAAAAGAAAAAGAUAAUUUGGUUUCAUGGGGAUUUAAACCAGGGUCUUCUAGAGUAAACUUCUUUACCACUGUGCCAUUCUUUGAAAUGAAAUAAUUACAUACCAAAUUUAUAGGUGCUAUGGCACUUUGAUUGGAACCAAAGUCUUAAAAUGACUUAAUUGCUGUUGUGUUAUUAUUAACCUUUUCCUGCUCUGAGGAAAUUUUAAAAUUUCUACAUGCAAACAUCAUAAAACCAGAACAGCCUGCAAGUAACUCACAAUCUGUUCAGGUUUUAUGCUGUUUGCUGCUCAUCAGUAUCCAUGGGUUGGAAGCAAAGCCUUUAAAACUUUAAUAUAGUAAGAAAGGUCUUAAAUUAAAUUUAUUCUCGAAUGUGUCUUAGUGCGUUUUUGAGUGGUACAGGGUUAAAUGUCUCAUUUUGUUUUUGAUUAUCUUUGGUUUAUUGAACAUAUAUGAGCCUUGCUCUGUGAAAAAGGGGUUUAAUGCAUGUGCGUUAAGUAUCGUCCCUGAUAAGCCUGUGCGGUUUGCCCAGGCUAAUCUGGAACGCACAUGCAUUAAACCCCUUUUUCACAGAGCGAGGCUCAUAUGUAUUAGACAGCGCAUUCAAAUAAUGCAAUUUAAAUCUGAAUCUUUUAUUUAGUUGCAAUACCUUAAAGCUUACUAUGUUUGCAGUUUUAGUGAAAACACAAACUUUUAAUCAAAGAAGCAAAUAAUGUGUAUUACUCAUUUAAUCAAAUUCCACUUUAUUCCAUACACUUGUUCGACUCUGUGACAUGUUCUGUCAAAGCUUUUUAUUGCAAAUUCAUUAAACAUAAAUUGGUAACCUUGGGUAUCCAAAAGGAAUCCAAAUUUUACUAGCCAUAGACUUUCCAAAAUGCAAUUGUUUCUGAGAAGUAUUUUUCUCUAGAAGGUGGCAAAACUCCUAAGCAAUUCCUUUUUGGGCUAAUGGUAGGGCUAAUGCGUGUAACACCCAUUGACAAAUUAUUAAAUAUACAUUGAAAGGUCAUUGUUCACAAAACGGAUCAUGAUAUAACAUGAUGCAGCAUUUUGUACUAUAUCAAAUUAAAUGUUGCUGAAAACAGAAGAAUAUUCAAAUUAUGGACAUUUUAUUCUGUUAAUAAUGCUAUUUUUAUAACAUUACAAAUCAAUAAAGCAUGCUUAACAAUA